rnacentral:tRNA from 1 species
GCAGUGGUGGUUUAGUGGUAGAAUUCUCACCUUCUAUGCAGGAGACCCAGGUUCGAUUCCCAGCCAAUGCA